rnacentral:lncRNA from 1 species
CUUCUCUCCUCCCACAUAUGAAGGACUUCAACGUAGAGCUCCGGGAACAUCCAAACUUACCUAAUUUCCCCAUCAUAAACUACCAUUGACACCGGAAUCCUUCCAUCUUUGCUCACCAAGAUCUUGACAUUCAACUUUUUUUUUUAUUUGCAUCGAGUGUUCGAGUCUCUCCCGACUAAUUCUAGGGGUGCACAGGCCCUCGGCAAGGAAUUUCCCACAAGUGCACCACGGUUAAUUCAAGUUUUACCCAGUCCGAUGGCCCUCAGAAAUUGUUUGCACCCAGUGGGUUUCGAACUUGAGACCUUGAAAGGGAGCAAACCCAAGGCUCAAGUCAAUUACCACCAGGCCAACCCCUAAGUGUUUGACAUUCAACAUUUUAUACAUGCUACAUAUAACAACAACAACAACAACCCAGUAUAACCCCACUUAGUGGGGUCUCGGGAGGGUAGUGUAUACGCAAACCUUACCCCUACCUUUGGGUAGAGAGGCUGUUUCCAAAUAGACCCUCGGCAUCCUUCCUUCCAAGAACUUACCACCUUGCUCUUGGGGAGACU